AUUGAACGCUGGCGGCAGGCCUAACACAUGCAAGUCGAACGAGUGGCGGACGGGUGAGUAAUGCCUGGGAAACUGCCUGAUGGAGGGGGAUAACUACUGGAAACGGUAGCUAAUACCGCAUACCAUCGGAUGUGCCCAAGUGGGAUUAGGUUGUUGGUGGGGUAACGGCUCACCAAGGCGACGAUCCCUAGCUGGUCUGAGAGGAUGACCAGCCACACUGGAACGGAGACACGGUCCAGACUCCUACGGGAGGCAGCAGUGGGGAAUAUUGCGCAAUGGGGGCAAGCCUGAGGCAGCCAUGCCGCGUGUAUGAAGAAGGCCUUCGGGUUGUAAAGUACUUUCAGUGGGGAGGCGUUACCCGCAGAAGAAGCACCGGCUAACUACGUGCCAGCAGCCGCGGUAAUAC
rnacentral:rRNA from 1 species